rnacentral:rRNA from 1 species
UACGAAGGGGGCUAGCGUUGCUCGGAAUUACUGGGCGUAAAGCGCACGUAGGCGGUCUUUUAAGUCAGGGGUGAAAUCCUGGAGCUCAACUCCAGAACUGCCUUCGAUACUGGAAGACUCGAGUCCGGGAGAGGUGAGUGGAACUGCGAGUGUAGAGGUGAAAUUCGUAGAUAUUCGCAAGAACACCGGUGGCGAAGGCGGCGACCGGGUCCGAUACUGACGCUGAGGAGCGAAAGCGUGGGGAGCGAACAGG